UACACUCCUGCGGGAGGCAGCAGUGGGGAAUAUUGGACAAUGGGCGCAAGCCUGAUCCAGCCAUGCCGCGUGAGUGAUGAAGGCCCUAGGGUUGUAAAGCUCUUUCACCGGUGAAGAUAAUGACGGUAACCGGAGAAGAAGCCCCGGCUAACUUCGUGCCAGCAGCCGCGGUAAUACGAAGGGGGCUAGCGUUGUUCGGAUUUACUGGGCGUAAAGCGCACGUAGGCGGACUAUUAAGUCAGGGGUGAAAUCCCGGGGCUCAACCCCGGAACUGCCUUUGAUACUGGUAGUCUUGAGUGCGAGAGAGGGGAGUGGAAUUCCGAGUGUAGAGGUGAAAUUCGUAGAUAUUCGGAGGAACACCAGUGGCGAAGGCGGCUCACUGGCUCGAUACUGACGCUGGGGUGCGAAAGCGUGGGGAGCAAACAGGAUUAGAAACCCGAGUAGUCCCAUGAU
rnacentral:rRNA from 1 species